GCAGCGACGCCGCGUGGGUGAUGACGGUCUUCGGAUUGUAAAACCCUUUUCUGGUUGACGAGCAAGGACGGUAGACCAGGAAGAAGUGUCGGCUAACUACGUGCCAGCAGCCGCGGUAAAACGUAGGACACGAGCGUUAUCCGGAGUUACUGGGCGUAAAGGGCGUGCAGGCGGCGUGGUAAGUCUGAUGUGAAAGCUCCCGGCUCAACCGGGAGAGGACAUUGGAGACUGCCAAGCUCGAGGCAGAUAGAGGGCUGUAGAAUUCCGGGUGUAGUGGUGAAAUGCGUAGAGAUCCGGAGGAAUACCAGAGGCGAAGGCGGCAGCCUGGGUCUGACCUGACGCUGAGACGCGACAGCAUGGGGAGCGAACGGGAUUAGAAACCCCGGUAGUCCAUGCCGUAAACGAUGUGUACUGGGUGUUCACCUUCGCAAGGAGGGGAGCGCCUCAGCUAACGCGCUAAGUACACCGCCUGGGGAGUACGGUCGCAAGGCUA
rnacentral:rRNA from 1 species